rnacentral:misc_RNA from 1 species
GAAAUGCGAUAAGUAGUGUGAAUUGCAGAAUUUAGCGAAUCAUCGAAUCUUUGAACGCACAUUGCGCCCCUUGGUAUUCCAUGGGGCAUGCCUGUUCGAGCGUCAUUUGUACCCUCAAGCUUUGCUUGGUGUUGGGCGUUUUUUGUCUUUGGCUCGCCCAAAGACUCGCCUUAAAACGAUUGGCAGCCGGCCUACUGGUUUCGCAGCGCAGCACAUUUUUGCGCUUGCAAUCAGCAAAAGAGGACGGCAAUCCAUCAAGACUCCUUCUCAUGUUUGACCUCGGAUCAGGUAGGGAUACCCGCUGAACUUAAGC